UUUUUUUUUUUUUUUUACAGGCAGAGUGGACAGUGAGAGAGAGAGAGACAGAGAGAAAGGUCUUCCUUUUGCCGUUGGUUCACCCUCCAAUGGCCGCCGCGGCCGGUGCACAGCGCUGAUCCGCUGGCAGGAGCCAGGAUCCAGGUGCUUCUCCUGGUCUCCCAUGGGGUGCAGGGCCCAAGCACCUGGGCCAUCCUCCACUGCACUCCCUGGCCACAGCAGAGGGCUGGCCUGGAAGAGGGGCAACCGGGACAGAAUCCGGCGCCCCGACCGGGACUAGAACCCGGUGUGCCGGCGCCGCAAGGCGGAGGAUUAGCCUAGUGAGCCGCGGCGCCGGCCAGUGAGAAACUUCUGUACUGCAAAAGAAAUUACUCAGGAGAGUGAAGUGGCAAUCGACAGAAUGGGAGGAACUAUUUGCAAACUAUGCAAUUGAUAAAGGAUUAAUAACAAGAAUGUAUAAACAGUUCAGGAAACUCCACAACAGCAACAAAAACAAACAUCCCAGUUAAGAAAUGGGCAAAGGACUAAAACAGGCAUUUUUCAAAACAGGAAAUCCAAUGGCCAACAGACACAUGAAAAAAUGCUCAGGAUCACUAGCCAUCAGGGAAAUGCAAAUCAAAACCAUAAGGAGGUUUCACCUCACCCCUGUUAGAAUGGCUUUCAUAUUGUAGCGGCUGUUUGGGGAGUGAACCAACGGAAGAAGUCCUUUCUGUCUCUCUCUCUCUCUCACUGUCUAACUCUGCCUGUCCAAAAAAAAAAAAAAAAAAAAAAAAAAAAAGAAAAAAGAAAAAAAGAAAAAAAGAAUAAACAACAAAGGUUGGUGAGUAUGUGGGAGAAAAGAUAACCUAAUCCACCGUUGGUGGGAAUGUAAACUAGUACAGCCAUUGGGGGAAAACUACGGAAAUACCUCUAAUAGCUGAAAACUAGAUCUCCCAUAUGACCCAGCCAUCCCACUCCUGGGAAUUUACCCAAGAGAAAUGAAAUAAGCAUAUGAAAGAGUUAUCUUUACUCCCAUGUUUACUGCAGCUCAAUUCACAAUUGCCAAGAUAUGGAAGCAGCCCAAAUGCCCGUCAACUGAAGACUGGGUAAAGAAAUUAUGGGAUAUAUACACCAUGGAAUACCACACAAUGGUUAAAAAAUGAAAUCUGGCCAUUUGCAACAGAAUGGAUAAAACUGGAAAACUUAAUCAGAUAACAGUUUACAUCACUAAUAAAAAUUUAUAUGGCAGGGGGCCAGCACUGGGGCCUAGUGUAUUAAGCCGCUAUCUACAGUGACUGUUUCUGAUAUGGACACUGGUUUGAGUCCCGGCUGUAGUAUUCCCAAUCAACUCCCUGCUAAUGGCCUGGGAAAACAGGAAUAGAUGAUCCAAGUACUUGGGCCACCCAUGCGGGAAACAUGAUGAAGCUCCUGGCAUCCCACUUCAACCUGGCUCAAUCCUGGAUGUUUUGGCUAUUUGGGGUAUAAACCAGUGGAUAGAAGAUAUUUCUCUCCCUGUUUCUGAAACUAUGUCUUUCAAAUAAAUAAGUAUAUAAAUCUUUCUUUAAAAACUUCAUAGAGCAUCAAGAUCAAAUUUUUCAUACGUAGUAAAGUAACAAAUGGGAAUUUGGGGAUAAAAAUUACAGAGAAACUGAUGCUAAGAAGACCCACGAUAUUAGUAGACUUUUGUUCUAGCUGGAUGUUAGGAGGAACAUUAGAGAUAAUGGAAAUUAAUUCUCAACAUUUUAAGUUUAUGUAGAGGAAAGAUAAAUUCCACCAGGUAUUAUAAGCCAUCUUUAAAUUCUGGAGCAAAGAAAAAGAUACUAACAGCAAAUUGAGUUUGAUGCAGUUAAAAGCCAGUGAGGAAAAUACUAAAUCAUACACAGUUUGUUUUUACCUGCAGAUUUCUAUGAGGAGGCUUCAUACAUUUGUGGGGAAAUGGAAGAAAAAGAGAAUGUACAUUAUCCCUUAAGUUUUUGAAGCCCCCUUUAUCUUUGAAUUCAAGCACUUGGGGCUCUUUCACCCAUGUAGCAUACCCAAAUUCAGUUUUAGCCUCCUGGAAAAUGAAGUGUUAAGGCUGAUGGAUAAAAAGGAUGUGUGUGCUAGUAAUGAUGCCGUGUGUUUUGAUUAUCUUUAGCAGUCUACAGCAACAGCCCUCAGUAAUAAUUUUGCCACCUUGUCUUAGAACACUGCAGGUAUGUCUCAUGACCCCUUGUGCAGUCCCAUUCUCCACUCAAUCUGAGCUUGACCUUGCACCUUGUACCUCUAGACUCUGACCAAUGGGUCAUUAGCAAAUGUGAGGCAAGUGGCAGUUUGAACAGUAUUUGGCAUCCCUGUUGUAGGAAACUCCUUCCUGCGUAUCCAGGAGGCAGGGCUUCUGUGUUCAUGCCUCAGAGAUCAAGAAUGAACCACCAUAAAUUGAAAGACUCCUAAGCAUCUCUGGUGGCAUUGGCAGUUCACCGAAAGCCCUUGAGUGACCCAGAUGAAACCACAAGGACUAUCCUGCUAAGCCUCCAACAAAGCACUAAUCACGAGCAAAUAAAAUGAUUAACAAAGUCAGUAAAUUGUGUAGUGAAUUUUAUUUCAUCAAGAAAAGACAAACAAUAGAAUAAAUGUAGAUUGUCAGAUGAUAGUUUGAAAGCUGAACUUGUGUACUACUGAAUUUUCUUCAUCAAAUUACUAGACUUUAUCAAAUGUUAUUGUAUAGUCAUUAAGCUGAAUUAGCUUGUUUGAGAAAAUACAGUUUGUAAUCAGACAUUUUAUUUAUACAUUCCUUGAUGCAAUAGUGAAUUACUAUGUAUAUAUGUUUUAGUAUAUUGCAAGUCAUCAUAAGAAUAUACAAAAUAUUAAAAGUAGUUAUAGAACUGAUAAAAAGCACAUGUAACAAUGUUUGGUCCUGUGUUUCUUGCUCUAUAAAAUAUUUGAAAUUUUUGGAGGAUAGUUCUAAUUUCAUACUUUAGUCUCAUGAAAAAUUAACAUUUUCAGAAUAACAGUAGUUCAUAUUUUUAGUUGUCUCCAUAUUUGAUCUUUAAAUCCUUUUCUAAUAAAGAUAAAAUUGGAAUUUUAUAAAGUAGAUAUUAAUGAACAGUCAGAUAUUCAUUAAUGAAUAGUCAAAUAGGUAUUAAUGGUAAGUCAAACAAGUAUUACUGAAUAGUCGAAUAGGUAUUAAUGAAGAAUCAGAUAGGUAUUAACGAAGGGUCAAAUAGGUAUUAAUGAAGAGUCAAAUAUUCAUGAAUGAAUAGUCAAAUAGGUAUUAACAAUAAGUCAAACAGGUAUUAAUGAAGAGUCAAAUAUUCAUGAAUGAAUAGUCAAAUAGGUAUUAACAAUAAGUCAAAUAGGUAUUAAUGAAGAGUCAAAUAUUCAUGAAUGAAUAGUCAAAUAGGUAUUAACAAUAAGUCAAACAGGUAUUAAUGAAGAGUCAAAUAGGUAUUAAUGAACAGUCAAAUAGGUAUUAACAAAUAGGUAUCAAUAAAGAGUCAAAUAGAUA